rnacentral:rRNA from 1 species
UACGGAGGGAGCUAGCGCUGUUCGGAAUUACUGGGCGUAAAGCGCACGUAGGCGGCUUUGUAAGUUAGAGGUGAAAGCCCGGGGCUCAACUCCGGAACUGCCUUUAAGACUGCAUCGCUUGAAUCCAGGAGAGGUGAGUGGAAUUCCGAGUGUAGAGGUGAAAUUCGUAGAUAUUCGGAAGAACACCAGUGGCGAAGGCGGCUCACUGGACUGGUAUUGACGCUGAGGUGCGAAAGCGUGGGGAGCAAACAGG